rnacentral:rRNA from 1 species
GAUGAACGCUGGCGGCGUGCCUAAUACAUGCAAGUCGAGCGAACAGACGAGGAGCUUGCUCCUCUGACGUUAGCGGCGGACGGGUGAGUAACACGUGGAUAACCUACCUAUAAGACUGGGAUAACUUCGGGAAACCGGAGCUAAUACCGGAUAAUAUAUUGAACCGCAUGGUUCAAUAGUGAAAGACGGUUUUGCUGUCACUUAUAGAUGGAUCCGCGCCGCAUUAUCUAGUUGGUAAGGUAACGGCUUACCAAGGCAACGAUGCGUAGCCGACCUGAGAGGGUGAUCGGCCACACUGGAACUGAGACACGGUCCAGACUCCUACGGGAGGCAGCAGUAGGGAAUAUUCCGCAAUGGGCGAAAGCUUGACGGAGCAACGCCGCGUGAGUGAUGAAGGUCUUCGGAUCGUAAAACUCUGUUAUUAGGGAAGAAAAAAUGUGUAAGUAACUAUGCACGUCUUGACGGUACCUAAUCAGAAAGCCACGGCUAACUACGUG